rnacentral:rRNA from 1 species
GACGAACGCUGGCGGCAUGCCUAAUACAUGCAAGUCGAGCGAACAGAUGAAGUGCUUGCACUUCUGACGUUAGCGGCGAACGGGUGAGUAACACGUAAGGAAUCUACCUAUAAGCGGGGGAUAACAUUCGGAAACGGGUGCUAAUACCGCAUAAUAUCUUCUUCCGCAUGGAAGAAGAUUGAAAGACGGCUCUGCUGUCACUUAUAGAUGACCUUGCGGUGCAUUAGUUAGUUGGUGGGGUAACGGCCUACCAAGACGAUGAUGCAUAGCCGGCCUGAGAGGGGGAUGGGCAACAUUGGGACUGGGACACGGCCCAAACUCCUACGGGAGGCAGCAGUAGGGAAUCUUCCGCAAUGGGCGAAAGCCUGACGGAGCGAUGCCGCGUGAGUGAAGAAGGCCUUCGGGUCGUAAAACUCUGUUAUAAGAGAAGAACAAAUUGUAGAGUAACUGCUACAGUCUUGACGGUAUCUUAUCAGAAAGCCACGGCUAACUACGUGCCAGCCGCCGCAGUAA